UCUGGCAUCGAUGAAGAACGCAGCGAAAUGCGAUAAGUAGUGUGAAUUGCAGAAUUCAGUGAAUCAUCGAAUCUUUGAACGCACAUUGCGCCCCUUGGUAUUCCAUGGGGCAUGCCUGUUCGAGCGUCAUUUGUACCUUCAAGCUCUGCUUGGUGUU
rnacentral:rRNA from 3 species